AAUUUUUUUUUUUAAUGCUGAUUUAUUAUGAUAUUACAAUUAUGAGAAAAAUUACAUAGACGAUCCGACAACCGACAAUACUAUCUGCCUUAUAAGGAUCUACGUCUAACUGCAUCACUUGAACCGUCAUACGAAGAUCACGCUUGACCGAGUUUACUUGCAUCAUGUUGAAGAUCCCUUAUGAUGUGAUUAUGAUGCAAGAAACACACUUGAACGAUGGCAGUAGUUAGGAGAAGAAUACAUUAGUUAUCUUGUAUGUUUGUGUACCUGUAUAUAUGCGUUUAAACAUAAAGUUGAACUAAAUUGUGAAAUUUGGUAAGUUAGGUGGAAAAUUUGAGAACAUUUGAAUAAAUAAUGGUUUAUUGAAAAAGAUGGAAAAAACGAAAAAGAGAGAGUUGUUGAAUUCAAUUUUUAAUCCAUUGGUAUACAACCACUCAUUUCAUGCAUGAUGAUGGCGCUCUUCUAGAAGGCCAGGUUCUCAGCUAGAGCCCAAGAUUCUUCAGAUCAGCAACAGAAGAUAUAUUCAUUUACAUUUGAUCAAAUCAAACCUCAUAUUACUUUUUAAAAUUCACCAAAUACUCUAAUUAUUUGAUUUCUUGUUCUACUUAAUGUCUUUGUAAUUUAUUAAUAGAGCCUAACUAGUAUAUUAAACAAACACUAACUAACGAAAAAUAAAACACUACUUACAAAGAGCGUUUUAAACAUCAUGAAAAUAUAUAUUUGAGUAAAAAACAGCUAAGUUCUGCUGAAUUAUUCUUUAUAUUUGUGUAAAGAAUUAACGUUUGUUUAUCUAAUGGGAGUGUAAAUGAUGCCGUGGAUGAAAUAGCGGUGUGUGAUGAUAUAACAAUUGUAUUUUUCUUUUGCCAAGCAUACUACAGAUGCCCUAUAAUAAUAUAUAGUACUAUUACUAAUUAAUUUGUCAUUUUCUUAGCGUAAGUGAUAUGGCUAUGAGUUGGAUAAUUAAAUACUAGUAUUAUUUAGGGUUCAUUUGUGACUGAGGACGUGGGAUUUGGUUCACCUUCCACUUUUUGUUGUUAUUUGUUUUAAAGUGUUCUAAUUCCAACGCUGCAUUAUCUCACGGUAAACUACUAUAUAUAUAUGGGAUUUUAUUGGUUGACGAUCUGAUUGUUGCUCGUCCACAUUCUGUCUUUAACAAAAAAAGAUAUAAAAAAAAAAACUAUAUAUAUCUGGGAUUUUAUUUUGAGCAGAGUAAGAUACUACUAUGAUCUGUUUUCUUUUUUUUUUUCCGGUAAAAGUUGUACUAUGAUCUGUUCCCUCGCAAAUACGUGAAAGUAAGUUGGAUAGUUGGUGACGGUAAAGGAUACAAAAAAAAUGGUCACAGCAAUCAUACAUAUCUACUUAUAUAAAUAAGAAUAGAUAAAAUAGAAAUUAUAUAAUAUGUUAAGAUUUACUAUAUAUCUCUAGUUCCUACGGCAGUGAUGAAAAUAUGCAAUACAGAGCAUUAUAUUACAGAAAAGAAAAGAUUAGAAAAUACACAAAAACCAUGUCAACGGAAAUCAAUAAUGACAAAAGUAAUUAUUUGGAGGAGAUGAUAGAUUGAGUAUAGCGGAUAAC